rnacentral:rRNA from 1 species
UAGUCCACACCGUAAACGCUGUCUACUAACUGUGUGUGAAUUUAAUUCGUGCGUAGUGAAGCUAACGCGCUAAGUAGACCGCCUGGGGAGUACGGCCGCAAGGUUAAAACUCAAAUGAAUUGACGGGGGCCCGCACAAGCGGUGGAGCAUGUGGUUUAAUUCGAUGCAACGCGAAGAACCUUACCUACUCUUGACAUACUGAGAACUUUCCAGAGAUGGAUUGGUGCCUUCGGGAGCUCAGAUACAGGUGCUGCAUGGCUGUCGUCAGCUCGUGUCGUGAGAUGUUGGGUUAAGUCCCGCAACGAGCGCAACCCUUGUCUUUAGUUGCCAUCAUUUAGUUGGGCACUCUAGAGAAACUGCCGGUGACAAACCGGAGGAAGGUAAGGAUGACGUCAAGUCAGCAUGCCCCUUACGCUCUGGGCUACACACGUGCUACAAUGGUCGUGACAAAGAGUUGCUAGUCUGCGAAGGCAAGCCAAUCUCAUAAACGCGGCCUU